rnacentral:rRNA from 1 species
UACGUAGGGGGCAAGCGUUGUCCGGAAUUAUUGGGCGUAAAGAGCGUGUAGGCGGCCAUGUAGGUCUGCUGUGAAAACUCGAGGCUUAACCUCGAGCUGUCGGCGGAAACCAUCUGGCUAGAGUCCGGAAGAGGAGAAUGGAAUUCCCGGUGUAGCGGUGAAAUGCGCAGAUAUCGGGAAGAACACCCGUGGCGAAGGCGGUUCUCUGGGACGGUACUGACGCUGAGACGCGAAAGCGUGGGGAGCGAACAGG